AAACAACAUAAUUUGACAAUUGAUGGAAAUGAUGGAUGAAUGCUCCAUUAACAAGAAUAUGGGCUUAAAUUUGAUUUCAGGCCUAAAGAAAGAAAAGGCCCAAUUUCUUUUGCAUGGAAAAAUGACAUAUCUUAGAUAAACCCAUCACCAAUUUGAUUGGUUCAGACAAAGCACCUAGGAUUACACCCAUUCUCCUACGUGGCAGUUGCAGCAUCGUCAACAGAAACCAGGCCAAAAUCCCUUCUUUGUUCUCUGUUUUGCUCUUCUCUCCUCCAUCAUCAAUGGCGGUCACAGUUCCAUCACCCUCAGCUGCUUAUCUUCGAGGAAUCCAACGCCACUUCUUCUCUUCCAAUCCCCUUCUCGCACCCCCAUUUCCCUCUAAACAGGCCCGCACGGUCGUUGCUAUGGCUCCCAAGAAGAAGGUGAACAAGUACGAUGAUGGUUGGAAGAAACAAUGGUAUGGUCCGGGAAUCUUCUACGAAAGCAGUGAAGAAUUGGAAUUCGAUGUGUUCAAGAAGCUGGAGAAGCGCAAAGUACUUAGCAACGUAGAAAAGGCAGGACUACUCUCCAAGGCGGAGGAGCUGGGAUUCACACUGUCGUCACUAGAGAAGUUAGGUGUGUUUUCCAAAGCUGAGGAGUUAGGCCUUUUGAGUCUGUUGGAGAAGACAGUCAGUGUCUCUCCGUCCACUCUGGCUUCCGCUACGCUUCCGAUACUGGUAGUGGCGCUAGCAGCGAUCGUCGUAAUACCGGAUGAUUCGGCGGGGCUGGUGGCGGUGCAAGUUGUAUUGGCAGGUGCGCUUGUUGUUGGCGCUGCUGGGUUGUUUGUUGGGUCUGUUGUGCUUGGUGGGCUGCAAGAAGCUGACUGAGCCUGAGUUUUUGCUUUUCUUGAUUUUGGGCAUUUUAAUUUUUUUUUUUAAUUUUAAAAUAAUGUGGACUGUGUGUGAUUAUAUUAAGGAAUGUAAAUGGCAGGUUAGGAGAUGAUAACUCUUUAUGAUAAUUGAUGUUAUGGAAUUGAUCAAAUGAUAUGUAAAUAAGGAGCAAUAUGUAUGAUAUUUGCAAAAGUUAUUUUACUUAAAUUUAAA
rnacentral:misc_RNA from 1 species